rnacentral:rRNA from 1 species
UCGAAACCUGCCCAGCAGAGCGACCCGUGAACAUGUUCAACCUCGUGGGUGUUGGGGCGUUGCCCGGUGCCUCGUGCGCCGGCCCUUCCCCAACCCCAUGCCGGGGGAGCGCCCACUAGUGGGCCGUUUCCACGGCAAAACAACGAACCCCGGCGCGUAAUGCGUCAAGGACUACAAACUUUAUGUGUGUGCCCUCCCGCCGCCCGGUUAGCCGGGCGUUGGAGCGGUGCCAUGUCUUAACAAUA